CACUGCAGUCUUUUUAAAAAAAAGUCAAGCCUCUCCGCAAUAGCAGUGAUUUCAACGAGAAGACGUCAACGUAGAAUACUAAUGACUUGAAAAGAACCGAGGCCAGCAGAGGCGGAAGUAUUAUGACCUGAUGAGUGGCUUCUACACGGCCCAGACUGUGCCCGCAGGAAUGCCCUGACCGAGUGGUUUCAACCCCCAGCUCUCACAACCUGACAAGUUUCUGUGCAGUCUUCAGAUAUCUGGCAAAGGCUUUCCUCUGAGAUAUAGCUGGCUUGGCUGCCAGGAUACUGGCACAUCCCCGGGAGCAUCACCCCCUGCUCUGUGGACAUGAGCUUCAUUGAGCAGCCUCUAGACAUGCCCCCUCCUUACACCUCAGCUUCCUCCCUAGUAGGAGGAACCGCCUACACCCAUCGCUCCGGGACUCUAUUCUCACAACACUCGGGGCUACGCUGUUGCAAGGAUGACCUGCCGACUAUGUUUUGCAUGCCCUGCCGAAGGACCUUAGUACACUACCAUGUGGAAUAGGUGGUUGCAGUUCGUUGGUCCCCAAUGGUGAUACCAGUAUGGAGCCAACACUUGGGAGAUUUGCAAGAGUGAUGGUGUCCAGACUGACAGACAGGCUUGAUGCUGAUGUCUCUGAAUGUAGAGAGAACUUGCAUUCAGUAAUAAAAUUAUACAAGACAAUUCUAUAACAUUUUAUAGUAUUUUCUUAUUAUUGAAUCGAAUGGUAUGACGACUGACAUGUUUGGCAAGGUAGCCCAGACAAAAUGUUGAUAGAUCCAGUAUCUGUGAAUGACAAUAAAAGAUGAAAGACAAGUGUAAUAUUUGCAUAUUGUUAUAUGAGCAGAACACUGCUUCUACAAUAUUAUGUGAAGAAUGUAUUAUUCUACAUGGAACUGUUUUUUUU